rnacentral:rRNA from 1 species
GACAGAGGGUGCAACCGUUGUUCGGAAUUACUGGGCGUAAAGCGAGUGUAGGCGGUUUGGUAAGUCGGAUGUGAAAGCCCCGGGCUCAACCCGGGAAGUGCACUCGAUACUGCCAAGCUAGAGUAUCGGAGAGGUUGGUGGAAUUCUCGGUGUAGAGGUGAAAUUCGUAGAUAUCGAGAGGAACACCGGUGGCGAAGGCGGCCAACUGGACGAAUACUGACGCUGAGACUCGAAAGCGUGGGGAGCAAACAGG